rnacentral:rRNA from 1 species
UACGUAGGGUCCGAGCGUUGUCCGGAAUUAUUGGGCGUAAAGGGCUCGUAGGCGGUCUGUUGCGUCGGGAGUGAAAACUUACAGCUUAACUGUGAGCGUGCUUUCGAUACGGGCAGACUUGAGGCAUUCAGGGGAGAACGGAAUUCCAGGUGUAGCGGUGAAAUGCGUUGAGAUCGGGAGGAACACCAGUGGCGAAGGCGGCACCCUGGCCGAGUUCUGACGCUGAAGCGCGACAGCGUGGGGAGCAAACGGG